ACCACCAUCUUCCUCUUCUCUUUUUUUUUUUUUUUUUUUUUUUGACUGAGUUAUUUAUAUAUGGUCUUGAGCUUAAAACCCAGAAAUGAUAAUAAAGGGCCAUUUAGAAUAGAGAGUUAGGAUUAUAUAAGCAAAGAGAAAUUAAGAGGAUGGUGGAUUGGGGUUCUGAGCUAAUUAGGAGGUUAUAAAUUAACAUGGUUGCUUCUCCUUCUUCUUCGUCUUCCAAAGAAAAAUACGACGUGUUUCUCAGUUUCAGAGGUGAGGAUACCCGUGGUUUUAUCGGAUAUCUUUAUGAGGCUUUGUGUCAAAAGUGUAUCCACACCUACAAGGAUGAUCAAACCCUUGAAAGUGGCCAUGAAAUUUCACCGACACUUAUGAAGGCGAUUUAAGAAUCUAAGAUUUACAUAAUAGUUUGUCUGAAAAUUUUGCAUUUUCCACAUGGUGCUUGGAUGAAUUGGUGCAAAUACUUGAAUGCAAGAGAAAUGACAAUGGGAAAAUUGUCAUACCCAUUUUUUAUGACAUAGAUCCAUCCAAUGUACGGAAACAGUUGGGCGGCUACGCAGUAGCAUUUGGUGAACAUGAACAACGAUUUAGGGACAAAAUGGAGAAGGUGCAGCAGUGGAGGGUUGCUCUGGAACAAGUGUCUAAUCUGUCCGGUCUUGAUUCAAAGAAUUUUGGGUGACUUUCUAUCUUACUAGUUAAUAAAAUAGUUAAUAACAUUUUGUUAAAGAGAUUAACAUUGUUUAAAUAUUUUUCUUGUUCUAAUUAUUGUUAUAGUUAGUUCCUCGGCAUCGCUCCCUCAGAAAUUAGUGUAUUAUAAAAUAUUUUGUUUAGUAACAAUUAUUUUUUAUUGUC